GAUGAACGCUGGCGGCGUGCCUAAUACUUGCAAGUCGAGCGAACAGACGAGGAGCUUGCUCCUCUGACGUUAGCGGCGGACGGGUGAGUAACACGUGGAUAACCUACCUAUAAGACUGGGAUAACUUCGGGAAACCGGAGCUAAUACCGGAUAAUAUAUUGAACCGCAUGGUUCAAUAGUGAAAGACGGUUUUGCUGUCACUUAUAGAUGGAUCCGCGCCGCAUUAGCUAGUUGGUAAGGUAACGGCUUACCAAGGCGACGAUGCGUAGCCGACCUGAGAGGGUGAUCGGCCACACUGGAACUGAGACACGGUCCAGACUCCUACGGGAGGCAGCAGUAGGGAAUCUUCCGCAAUGGGCGAAAGCUUGACGGAGCAACGCCGCGUGAGUGAUGAAGGUCUUCGGAUCGUAAAACUCUGUUAUUAGGGAAGAACAAAUGUGUAAGUAACUAUGCACGUCUUGACGGUACCUAAUCAGAAAGCCACGGCUAACUACGUG
rnacentral:rRNA from 1 species